rnacentral:tRNA from 8 species
GCGCCUAUAGCUCAGUUGGUAGAGCAGCUGACUCUUAAUCAGCGGGUCCAAGGUUCGAAUCCUUGUGGGCGCACCA